rnacentral:rRNA from 1 species
UGCUGAGAGGUGGGGUGCCCGAAGGAGCUAGACACAGGUGCUGCAUGGCUGUCGUCAGCUCGUGUCGUGAGAGUGUUGGGUUAAGUCCCGCAACGAGCGCAACCCUUGCCGCUAAUUGCCAUCAUUAAGUUGGGCACUUUAGUGGGACUGCCGGUGACAAACCGGAGGAAGGUGGGGAUGACGUCAAGUCCUCAUGGCCCUUAUGGGUAGGGCUUCACACGUCAUACAAUGGCGCAUACAGAGGGCUGCGAAACCGCGAGGUGGAGCCAAUCCCAGAAAGUGCGUCGUAGUCCGGAUUGCAGUCUGCAACUCGACUGCAUGAAGUCGGAAUCGCUAGUAAUCGCGGAUCAGCAUGUCGCGGUGAAUACGUUCCCGGGUCUU